AGUAGUUUGAUCCUGGCUACAGAACGACGCUGGCGGCAUGCCUAACACAUGCAAGUCGAACGAGACCUUCGGGUCUAGUGGCGCACGGGUGCGUAACGCGUGGGAACCUGCCUUUAGGUUCGGAAUAACUCAGAGAAAUUUGAGCUAAUACCGGAUAAUGUCUUCGGACCAAAGAUUUAUCGCCUUUAGAUGGGCCCGCGUAAGAUUAGCUAGUUGGUGGGGUAAAGGCCUACCAAGGCGACGAUCUUUAGCUGGUCUGAGAGGAUGAUCAGCCACACUGGGACUGAGACACGGCCCAGACUCCUACGGGAGGCAGCAGUGGGGAAUAUUGGACAAUGGGCGAAAGCCUGAUCCAGCAAUGCCGCGUGAGUGAUGAAGGCCUUAGGGUUGUAAAGCUCUUUACCCGAGAUGAUAAUGACAGUAUCGGGAGAAUAAGCUCCGGCUAACUACGUG
rnacentral:rRNA from 1 species